CCUACGGGAGGCAGCAGUGAGGAAUAUUGGUCAAUGGCCGGAAGGCUGAACCAGCCAAGCCGCGUGAGGGAGGAAGGCGCAGAGCGUCGCAGACCUCUUUUGCCGGGGGACAAAAGGCCGGACUCGUCCGGUCCUGAGGGUACCCGGCGAAAAAGCAUCGGCUAACUCCGUGCCAGCAGCCGCGGUAAUACGGAGGAUGCGAGCGUUAUCCGGAUUCAUUGGGUUUAAAGGGUGCGCAGGCGGGGCUUUAAGCCCGCGGUGAAAUCCCGGGGCUCAACCCCGGAGGUGCCGCGGAAACUGGGGGACUUGAGUGCGGCGGAGGCAGGCGGAAUGUGUGGUGUAGCGGUGAAAUGCAUAGAUAUCACGCAGAACCCCGAUUGCGAAGGCAGCAUGCCGGCUUCCGACUGACGCUGAAGCACGAAAGCGUGGGGAGCGAACAGGAUUAGAUACCCGAGUAGUC
rnacentral:rRNA from 1 species